CUCUCGAGAGGGCGGCGCUUCCAACGCGACCCCAGGUCAGGCGGGGCUACCCGCUGAGUUUAAGCAUAUCAAUAAGCGGAGGAA
rnacentral:rRNA from 1 species